UACGUAGGGUCCGAGCGUUGUCCGGAAUUACUGGGCGUAAAGAGCUCGUAGGUGGUUUGUCGCGUUGUUCGUGAAAACUCACAGCUCAACUGUGGGCGUGCGGGCGAUACGGGCAGACUAGAGUGCUGUAGGGGAGACUGGAAUUCCUGGUGUAGCGGUGAAAUGCGCAGAUAUCAGGAGGAACACCGGUGGCGAAGGCGGGUCUCUGGGCAGUAACUGACGCUGAGGAGCGAAAGCGUGGGGAGCGAACAGG
rnacentral:rRNA from 1 species